GAAAUGCGAUAAGUAAUGUGAAUUGCAGAAUACAGUGAAUCAUCGAAUCUUUGAACGCACAUUGCGCUCGCCAGUAUUCUGGCGAGCAUGCCUGUUCGAGCGUCAUUUCAACCAUCAAGCUCUGCUUGCGUUGGGGAUCCGCGGCUGCCCGCGGUCCCUCAAAAACAGUGGCGGGCUCGCUAGUCACACCGAGCGUAGUAACUCUACAUCGCUAUGGUCGUGCGGCGGGUUCUUGCCGUAAAACCCCCAAUUUCUAAGGUUGACCUUGGAUCAGGUAGGAAUACCCGCUGAACCUAAGC
rnacentral:misc_RNA from 1 species